rnacentral:lncRNA from 7 species
AAAGGCAACCAAAUACAGAAACGUGCGAGGAGGGAAAUUGCUAGUAUGCACCGUGGGUUAAACUGUAUGCUUAGAAUUGGGUCUAGAAAUUGUACUGGAUUGUGAGUACAGAUCUGGAUUUUGUUCCUUCCUCCCCCAGCAGUACAACUGGCUUCUCUGAUUUUCUGCAACUCGCUUUCCUCCUUGCUCUGCUCUUAUUUUCUGGAACAGAAGAAUUUUUGCUGUGAUGUCCUCCAGUUGUCCUCUGCUGAAAUCUGAGCUAUCAUGCUGAGGUGCAGAAGACAAAAGGAGGAGGUAACAAUCCCAACACAAAAGCAGUAAGCAUCAAAUGGGAGAAAAUCUGAAAACCAUAUUGGCGUUUAGAGGCUUUUUUAUCCCUGGAGCAAGGCUGAAGCUGCAAAGGAAAAAAAAAAACAACAUUGAUACAUUAUUCAUUAUUCAUGCCAGAGAAAGAGAGAGGCAGUGAUGGAGAAAAGAGAAGACAAGGCUUCUCCUUCAAGAGGAUGUUCCAGAUGCAGUACCCUGCAGGUGGUGAUUUGCUGAGACUCUGAAUAUAACUUCUCACACCAAAGAGUGGCAGCAUUUCCUUGUUAUCUAUCUAAAACUGUGUCAGAGGACAUGUUGUUUGGGCCAGCAGCACUGAGAUCUGUAACUUCUGCGAAGGGCAGACUGAAUUUCCUUCUCCCAUCUCCCUGAAAUCUCACCUGAAAUAAAAUUAUUUUC